rnacentral:tRNA from 1 species
UGGGAUGUCGUCUAACGGUAGGACAGCGGACUCUGGAUCCGUAUGUAGGGGUUCAAAUCCUCUCAUCCCAGCCA